AAGUGUGUAGGAGAAGAUGAUUUUUCAGUGGAAACAUGGAAACACUUGAUUACUCAUCUUAAAA
rnacentral:sRNA from 10 species